GAUGGGAGCUUGCUCCCUGAUGUUAGCGGCGGACGGGUGAGUAACACGUGGGUAACCUGCCUGUAAGACUGGGAUAACUCCGGGAAACCGGGGCUAAUACCGGAUGGUUGUUUGAACCGCAUGGUUCAAACAUAAAAGGUGGCUUCGGCUACCACUUACAGAUGGACCCGCGGCGCAUUAGCUAGUUGGUGAGGUAACGGCUCACCAAGGCAACGAUGCGUAGCCGACCUGAGAGGGUGAUCGGCCACACUGGGACUGAGACACGGCCCAGACUCCUACGGGAGGCAGCAGUAGGGAAUCUUCCGCAAUGGACGAAAGUCUGACGGAGCAACGCCGCGUGAGUGAUGAAGGUUUUCGGAUCGUAAAGCUCUGUUGUUAGGGAAGAACAAGUACCGUUCGAAUAGGGCGGUACCUUGACGGUACCUAACCAGAAAGCCACGGCUAACUACGUGCCAGCAGCCGCGGUAAUACGUAGGUGGCAAGCGUUGUCCGGAAUUAUUGGGCGUAAAGGGCUCGCAGGCGGUUUCUUAAGUCUGAUGUGAAAGCCCCCGGCUCAACCGGGGAGGGUCAUUGGAAACUGGGGAACUUGAGUGCAGAAGAGGAGAGUGGAAUUCCACGUGUAGCGGUGAAAUGCGUAGAGAUGUGGAGGAACACCAGUGGCGAAGGCGACUCUCUGGUCUGUAACUGACGCUGAGGAGCGAAAGCGUGGGGAGCGAACAGGAUUAGAUACCCUGGUAGUCCACGCC
rnacentral:rRNA from 1 species